rnacentral:snRNA from 1 species
AUACCUUUCUCGGCCUUUUGGCUAAGAUUAAGUGUACUAUCAGUUCUUAUCAGUUUAAUAUCUGAUAUAUUUCGAUGUUAACUUAAUUUUUUAAGGGAGAAAGCCCAAUAAGAUAGCCUGCUAUCUGGGCUUUCAUGAGUCGUCCAUGUAUUGCACUACUACAUGGGCUUGGCUCAGCCCAC